GCAAAACUAAACUUUUUUACAAAAUCUUAAAGAAAAUUUUCACUAAAAAUAGUAUUCUAUAAAAAAUAACUCAUUUUAUCCAACCGCGAGGACUAAUAUUCAGCUUUCUCAAGAAAUGAUGACCCCAUGUCCCUCUUGCAUCAUGGAGAAGCAACAAAAACAUACUAAUAUACACUCCCGAAUGACUAUGAGCUACUAAUCCUUAAAAACCAAUGUCUCAUAAUUGGUAAAGUAACUUUUAGUAGAAGCAACAAACCUUUCAUAUAGUCAUAUAGCUGGUUUUUCUUUAAAAGCAUCAAAGUGCUGGCUUAUAGGGCAAAUUUACUAUAGCAAUCUAUAAAGCUUAACCUACUGAGGAUUAGCUCAGUAGGGGCCUAAAAAUAUCUUAUUCACUAAUCUCAUUAGUAGGCUUAAAAACAGCCAUCCGAUAACGUUUUAGUUAAUGCAAAUACUUUGACCAAAUAUCUACUCCUCCCAUUUUAAAAUCAAAGAAAUUUAACAAAAAAUCUCUUUGUUACUAAACAGGCAUUCUAUUAGUAUUAACAUAAACCACUACUCAAUACUUCUUAAAACCAUGAGUAAAAAAAUUUUACAAGCUAAAAUACGCGAAGUGAACUCGGCAAAUAAGUUCCCUGCCUGUUUAUCAAAAACAUCGUUUUCUGAAAAAUCCCCGAUAGAAAAUAAUGCCUGCCCAGUGAAAUUUAAACGGCCGCGUUAGCGUGAGCGUGCUAAGGUAGCGUAAUAAUUAGCCUUUUAAUUGGAGGCCAGUGAAUGGCAAGACUAGGAACACCUUUACUUUGCGUAUGAAAAAAACUUUUCGUCUAAGUGAAAAGACUUAGAUAAUGAAGGUAGACGAAAAGACCCCGCGGAACUUUACCUUCUCUUCUACAAUUGUGUACUCACCCUAAGUGUAUAAGGUUUGAUUGGGGCAAUCUUGGAAUCAACAAAGCUUCCAAUUCCUAAAAAAAUUUAUUUAAAAUUUACUAAGGACCAAAAAGAAGUUACCCCGGGGAUAACAGCGUAAUCCAACUUAAGAGUACAUAUCGAAAGUUGGGUUUGCGACCUCGAUGUUGGCUUAAGGAUAUCCACAUAAGUGCAACCGCUAUGAUAGGAUAGUCUGUUCGACUAUUAUACCCUUACACGAGCUGAGUUAAGACCGGCGCAAGCUAGGUUGGUUUCUAUCUCCUUUAUACAAAAAUCUUCUUGAUUGUACGAAAGGACCCCAAGAGUUGCUACAUAACAGCACUUUUUAUCAGUUAACUUUAUUUUAC
rnacentral:rRNA from 1 species